rnacentral:rRNA from 1 species
AAUCAACGCUGGCGGCGUGCCUCAGACAUGCAAGUCGAACGCGAAAGUUUCCUUCGGGGAACAAGUAGAGUGGCGCACGGGUGAGUAACACGUAGGUAAUCUACCUUUGGAUGGGGAAUAACAACCGGAAACGGUUGCUAAUACCGCAUAAUGCAGCGGCACCUAAUGGUGACAGUUGUUAAAGCGGGGGAUCGAAAGACCUCGCGUCUGAAGAGGAGCCUGCGGCGGAUUAGCAGUUGGUAAGGUAAUGGCUUACCAAGGCGACGAUCCGUAACCGGCCUGAGAGGGCGGUCGGUCACACUGACACUGACAUACGGGUCAGACUCCUACGGGAGGCAGCAGUAGGGAAUCUUGCGCAAUGGGCGAAAGCCUGACGCAGCAACGCCGCGUGGGGGA